rnacentral:rRNA from 1 species
CAGCAAGCCACGGCUAACUACGUGCCAGCAGCCGCGGUAAUACGUAGGUGGCAAGCGUUGUCCGGAUUUAUUGGGCGUAAAGGGAGCGCAGGUGGUUUCUUAAGUCUGAUGUGAAAGCCCACGGCUUAACCGUGGAGGGUCAUUGGAAACUGGGAAACUUGAGUACAGAAGAGGAAUGUGGAACUCCAUGUGUAGCGGUGGAAUGCGUAGAUAUAUGGAAGAACACCAGUGGCGAAGGCGACAUUCUGGUCUGUUACUGACACUGAGGCUCGAAAGCGUGGGGUGCAAACAGGAUUAGAUACCCUGGUAGUCCACGCCGUAAACGAUGAGUGCUAGGUGUUGGAGGGUCUCCGCCCUUCAGUGCCGCAGUUAACGCAUUAAGCACUCCGCCUGGGGAGUACGACCGCAAGGUUGAAACUCAAAGGAAUUGACGGGGACCCGCACAAGCGGUGGAGCAUGUGGUUUAAUUCGAAGCAACGCGAAGAACCUUACCAAGUCUUGACAUCCUUUGACCACCCUAGAGAUAGGGUUUUCCCUUCGGGGACAAAGUGACAGGUGGUGCAUGGUUGUCGUCAGCUCGUGUCGUGAGAUGUUGGGUUAAGCCCCGCAACGAGCGCAACCCCUAUUAUUAGUUGCCAGCAUUUAGUUGGGCACUCUAAUGAGACUGCCGGUGACAAACCGGAGGAAGGUGGGGAUGACGUCAAAUCAGCAUGCCCCUUAUGACUUGGGCUACACACGUGCUACAAUGGAUGGUACAACGAGUCGCAAACCCGCGAGGGCAAACAAAUCUCUUAAAGCCAUUCUCAGUUCGGAUUGCAGGCUGCAACUCGCCUGCAUGAAGCCGGAAUCGCUAGUAAUCGUGGAUCAGCACGCCACGGUGAAUACGUUCCCGGGUCUUGUACACACCGCCCGUCA